UUAUAAAAGAAAGAAAAAAGGGAUAAACCAUUGUACCGACACGUGCGCUCCAUAGCAAGUGUAUUAGCAUCGAGCUAACCUAACGUGCUCACGGCGAAUAGCGCUGUGGCCUUCGUUUGAGCCAAUGUUAGAAAAUCGUUAUUUUCCCUAGCCGAUGAUUGACACGUUUAGUGAAUGCCUUGCGCAUUUUGUGCAUGCUGUUUUUUUUGGGACUCAUAGGCCAUCAAAAGAUUGGACUACGGAGUCUGGAGAUUGGAUGCCACGUGGGACGUUGGUGAAGGACAUCUUAGACUUCAAAGCCACCCGUCCCCUGGAGGGUGGUAGGACAGUUGAAAGGAUUUCCCUCUUUUUUUGUUUUUGAAUUUGAGAUCGGUCGCUUUUUUUUUCAUGGGUCAGAACUGAUACCAAAAAAAAAACAACUGAUAAGAACUGCUAACAAUUUAAAUUACUGUAUGUUUUUUUUUUCUUGUUCAGCUUUAUGCAUUCUGGUUCAGUUUCCCAUCUACUCCUAUUGUAAAUAUUCACUCAAUAUAUUUUUUU